CCUACGGGUGGCAGCAGUGGGGAAUAUUGCGCAAUGGGCGCAAGCCUGACGCAGCGACGCCGCGUGAGGGAUGAAGGUCUUCGGAUCGUAAACCUCUGUCAGCAGGGAAGAACGGUCACUGUGCUAAUCAGCAGUGAAUUGACGGUACCUGCGAGGGAAGCACCGGCUAACUCCGUGCCCGCAGCCGCGGUAAUACGGAGGGUGCGAGCGGUGAUCGGAAUUACGGGGCGGAAAGCUGUGGUAGGCGGUUUGUCAAGUCAAGGGGGAAAUCCCCGCGCUCAACGUGGGAACUGCCUUUGAAACUGGCAAACUGGAGUGUGUGAGAGGAUAGUGGAAUUCCAGGUGUAGGAGUGAAAUCCGUAGAUAUUUGGAGGAACAUCAGUGGCGAAGGCGACUAUCUGGCACAUAACUGACGCUGAGGAGCGAAAGCGUGGGUAGCAAACAGGAUUAGAUACCCCAGUAGUC
rnacentral:rRNA from 1 species